rnacentral:rRNA from 1 species
AUGAACGCUAGCGACAGGCCUAACACAUGCAAGUCAGGGCGAGCACAAGGAGCAAUCUGAGGUGGCGACCGGCGCACGGGUGAGUAACACGUAUGCAACCUGCCUGUAAGCGGGGAAUAACCCGUUGAAAGACGGACUAAUACCGCAUAAUACUAAAUUACUGCAUGGUAAUUUAUUUAAACAUUUAUGGCUUACAGAUGGGCAUGCGCAUGAUUAGCUAGUUGGAGAGGUAACGGCUCCCCAAGGCAACGAUCAUUAGGGGUUCUGAGAGGAAGGUCCCCCACACUGGUACUGAGACACGGACCAGACUCCUACGGGAGGCAGCAGUGAGGAAUAUUGGUCAAUGGACGAGAGUCUGAACCAGCCAAGUCGCGUGCAGGAAGAAUGUUCCCUAUGGAUUGUAAACUGCUUUUGCAGGGGAAUAAAGUGCAUCACGUGUGAUGUUUUGUAUGUACUCUGCGAAUAAGGAUCGGCUAACUCCGUGCCAGCCGCUGC